rnacentral:rRNA from 1 species
GGGUGCGAUCAUACCAGCAUUAAUGCACAUGAACACAUCAGAACUCCGCAGUUAAGCACACUUAGGCUAGAGUAGUACUGGGAUGGGUGACCUCCCGGGAAGUCCUAGUGUUGCACCCU